GAUGAACGCUGGCGGCGUGCCUAACACAUGCAAGUCGAGCGAACAGACGAGGAGCUUGCUCCUCUGACGUUAGCGGCGGACGGGUGAGUAACACGUGGAUAACCUACCUAUAAGACUGGGAUAACUUCGGGAAACCGGAGCUAAUACCGGAUAAUAUAUUGAACCGCAUGGUUCAAUAGUGAAAGACGGUUUUGCUGUCACUUAUAGAUGGAUCCGCGCCGCAUUAGCUAGUUGGUAAGGUAACGGCUUACCAAGGCAACGAUGCGUAGCCGACCUGAGAGGGUGAUCGGCCACACUGGAACUGAGACACGGUCCAGACUCCUACGGGAGGCAGCAGUAGGGAAUAUUGCGCAAUGGGCGAAAGCCUGACGGAGCAACGCCGCGUGAGUGAUGAAGGUCUUCGGAUCGUAAAACUCUGUUAUUAGGAAAGAACAAAUGUGUAAGUAACUAUGCACGUCUUGACGGUACCUAAUCAGAAAGCCACGGCUAACUACGUG
rnacentral:rRNA from 1 species